AUACGUAGGGGGCAAGCGUUGUCCGGAAUUACUGGGCGUAAAGGGCGUGUAGGCGGCCGAGCAAGUCAAGUGUGAAAAGCCCCGGCUUAACCGAGGCAUUGCACAUGAAACUGCUUGGCUUGAGUGCAGGAGAGGGAAGUGGAAUUCCUAGUGUAGCGGUGAAAUGCGUAGAUAUUAGGAGGAACACCAGUGGCGAAGGCGACUUCCUGGACUGUAACUGACGCUGAGGCGCGAAAGCGUGGGUAGCAAACAGGAUUAGAUACCCUGGUAGUCCACGCCGUAAACGAUGGGUACUAGGUGUGGGUAGUUCACUCUAUCCGUGCCGCAGCAAACGCAAUAAGUACCCCGCCUGGGGAGUACGGCCGCAAGGUUGAA
rnacentral:rRNA from 1 species